UUUCUUGUAGCAUGAGGCUGGGAAGAAGAACCAGGACCUAACUUCAACACUAUCCAGAGGAAUUAUUUUCUUCUUCAUACUGAUUCUAAAUCCAGCAACAAAAAGAAGAAAAAUAUUCAUGACUAUCUUUUCAUGCAAGACUUCUCCAAGGUCAAUAAGAACACUGAGAAUCAAGUGUGAACAGAGCACUGAAGAACAUGGAUGAGCCUGUAUAUUUGUCAUAACAUAAAGAGUUCUUUGGUGAUACACAUGAUAUUGGGAUAUGGAAUCGAAAUACAUUAAUUUUAAUGUGUAAAAGUUCAGGCAUAUGACUCACUGUUGUGGAGGAGAACAGAUGAGUUUUCCUAAUCAAAGGAAGAGUGAAAAGGAGAAACAAAAGGAAAUAGGGUAAAAGACACAGAGAGAGCCUUGGACAUACAUCAUUAGCACAUGGCAUGGAAGUCAUGAAUAUUUCAAGGAAAGGUCAAUUAGAACAACUCUGGAAACAACUGAGAUAUGUGUCAUGAAGAUCAAAGAAAGCUUGAGACUGUAUGAGUGAGAUUAUUAAAGGACAACAGCUCAGAG
rnacentral:sRNA from 1 species